GAGUUUGAUCAUGGCUCAGAUUGAACGCUGGCGGCAUGCCUUACACAUGCAAGUCGAACGGCAGCACGGGAGCUUGCUCCUGGUGGCGAGUGGCGAACGGGUGAGUAAUGCAUCGGAACGUAUCCUGGAGUGGGGGAUAACGUAGCGAAAGUUACGCUAAUACCGCAUAUUCUGUGAGCAGGAAAGCGGGGGACCUUCGGGCCUCGCGCUCUUGGAGCGGCCGAUGUCGGAUUAGCUAGUUGGUGAGGUAAAGGCUCACCAAGGCGACGAUCCGUAGCAGGUCUGAGAGGAUGAUCUGCCACACUGGAACUGAGACACGGUCCAGACUCCCACGGGAGGCAGCAGUGGGGAAUUUUGGACAAUGGGGGCAACCCUGAUCCGGCCAUGCCGCGUGAGUGAAGAAGGCCUUC
rnacentral:rRNA from 1 species